rnacentral:rRNA from 1 species
UUUUUAUAGAAAUAAUUAUAAAUAAAACCUGCUCCAUGAUAUUUUCAACAGCCGCAGAAAUUAUAUCUGUGCUAAGGUAGCAUAAUCAUUAGUCUUUUAAUUAAAGACCAGUAUGAAAGGUUUAACAUUUAAAUAACUAUUUCUAUUCAAUAUUAUCGAAUUUAUACUAAUCAUAAAAAUAUUAUUAUAAAAUAAAAAGACGACAAGACCCUGUCAAACUUAACUUUAGUUAAACUGGGGCAGUUAAUUAAAUAUAAUUUUAAUUUUUUUUAAAAAAAAAUAACUAAUAAUAAUUAAAUCUUAAACAAGUUACUGUAGGGAUAACAGCGCAAUAAUUUUUAAAAGUUCAUAUUAAAAAAAAAGAUUACGACCUCGAUGUUGAAUUAAUUUUCUUUAAAAAGCAAAAAUUUUUAAUAAAGAAGGUCUGUUCGACCUUUAAAUAGUUACA